CCAGACUCCUACGGGAGGCAGCAGUAGGGAAUAUUGCACAAUGGGGGAAACCCUGAUGCAGCAACGCCGCGUGAGUGAGGAAGUAUUUCGGUAUGUAAAGCUCUAUCAGCAGGGAAUAGAAAAGAAGGUACCUGAAAAAGAAGCCCCGGCUAACUACGUGCCAGCAGCCGCGGUAAUACGUAGGGGGCGAGCGUUAUCCGGAUUUACUGGGUGUAAAGGGGGCGCAGACGGCAGCGCAAGCCAGGAGUGAAAGCCCGGGGCCCAACCCCGGGACUGCUCUUGGAACUGCGCGGCUGGAGUGCAGGAGGGGCAGGCGGAAUUCCUGGUGUAGCGGUGAAAUGCGUAGAUAUCAGGAGGAACACCGGUGGCGAAGGCGGCCUGCUGGACUGCGACUGACGUUGAGGCCCGAAAGCGUGGGGAGCAAACAGGAUUAGAUACCCGUGUAUU
rnacentral:rRNA from 1 species